AUUGAACGCUGGCGGCAUGCCUUACACAUGCAAGUCGAACGGUAACAGGUCUUCGGAUGCUGACGAGUGGCGAACGGGUGAGUAAUACAUCGGAACGUGCCUAGUAGUGGGGGAUAACUACUCGAAAGAGUGGCUAAUACCGCAUGAGAUCUACGGAUGAAAGCCGGGGAUCGCAAGACCUUGUGCUACUAGAGCGGCCGAUGGCAGAUUAGGUAGUGGGUGGGAUAAAAGCUUACCAAGCCGACGAUCUGUAGCUGGUCUGAGAGGACGAUCAGCCACACUGGGACUGAGACACGGCCCAGACUCCUACGGGAGGCAGCAGUGGGGAAUUCUGGACAAUGGGCGCAAGCCUGAUCCAGCAAUGCCGCGUGCAGGAUGAAGGCCUUCGGGUUGUAAACUGCUUUUGUACGGAACGAAAAGCCCUGGGUUAAUACCCUGGGGUCAUGACGGUACCGUAAGAAUAAGCACCGGCUAACUACGUGCCAGCCGCCGCCGUAAGAC
rnacentral:rRNA from 1 species